rnacentral:lncRNA from 1 species
GCCAAAGUCAGACCUAUGAAAAAAUAGCGAUGGACUACAGGGGGUGAAGUUCUGUGGUUCAGAUGCAGUGUGGAGGCUGGAGGGAGAGAUCUAUAUCACACAGCCAUGUGUCAUUUAUGUGUGCAUUUUCUCCCACAUGUACAGGAGGAAAGCAGAAGGAACGUUCAAGUUUCUGGAAGCACCGGGAAGGACAAGUUCUUGUUCAUAAAUAGGAGAAACAAAUAGGUCAUGGUACUGCCUGGCUCCUUCCACAAGCAGAGGUUACCAGAGCGUUCCCACCUUGGCUAGAGGCUGCCCCUCAGGGCACAGAUGGCUUUACACUGGGUCUUUUUCUCCCACACUCACAUGCAAGCCAGGAAAGGAGAGUCUGCCUCAAGUUCACCCCUCCACUGACUCCCUGUAGAGAUCUAGCACCCCAGUCCUGGAGCUGCAGGUGGGGCUCAGGACAUCGCUGAGAGCCAAAGGUCAUGGAAGCAGAGAAGCAGCGGCCGUGUGACAAACUCCAGGACCCAGAGAAGGGCCUUUGUCCCAACGUACUAGAGAUGAAGUGGCUACUGCUCGAGGCGUGUGGAUGGAUGACAAGCGUCAACAGCCAGUGGGAAGCAACAACAGACGAGUCCCUGGGCAGGAGGUGAAAGGGAGCAGUACAGAGCAGUGUGGACAAGAACAAGCUUGAGAAGAGUGCUUUGACUCACAAGGCAUGAAGUCAGUGUGGCCAUUGCCACAGCCAAAGGCCCCAGAAGUAGAAGAGGCUGAGAGAAUCUGAUGGGCAUGUCAAGGUAAUUGCUUGUCUAUUCGGACUGCCAUCACAAAAACACCAUAGAGUGAGUGGCUUAAGCAGCAAACAGUUAUUUCUCGAAGUUUUAGAGGCUGGGAGGUCCCAGAUCAAGGCACCAGCAGAUUCAGUGCCUGGUGAGAGCCUGCUUCCUGGUGCAUAGAUGGCUGUAUUCUUACUGUGACCUCACAUUGCAGAAGAGACAAGGGAGGUAUCGGAGGCCUCUUUCAUAAAGGCGUUAAUCCCAUUCAUGAGCACUCCAUUCUCACAACCUAAUCACCUUCCGAGGGCCUCACCUCCUCAUACCAGCACGUUGGGAAUAAGGCUUCA